rnacentral:rRNA from 1 species
UGCAAGUCGUACGGGCCGGGCCCGCAAGGGUCCGGUCAGUGGCGCAAGGGUGAGUAAGGCGACGGUAACCUACCCCGGGACUGGGCAUAGCCGCGGGAAACCGCGGGUAAUUCCCAGCGAUGUCAGGUUCGGGCAUCCGAGCCUGACCAAAGCUCCGGCGUCCUGGGACGGGCCGUCGUGGUAUUAGGUCGUUGGCGGGGUAACGGCCCACCAAGCCUGCGAUGCCUACCGGGCGUGCGAGCGUGGCCCGGCACACUGGGACUGAGACACUGCCCAGACUCCUACGGGAGGCUGCAGUCGAGAAUCUUCGGCAAUGGGCGCAAGCCUGACCGAGCGACGCCGCGUGGAGGACGAAGGCCUUCGGGUUGUAAACUCCUGUCAGGGGGAAAAG